GGAGGCGUGGCUGAGUGGUUUAAGGCACUCGCUUGGAGAGCGAGAGUUCUGGAAACAGGACCAGAGGUUCAAAUCCUCUCGCCUCCG
rnacentral:tRNA from 1 species